GGCAUCAACACUGUCGAUGCGAAGUUGCCGAGGAGGUGGACGGCAAGGGCAGUGCUGCGGUCGCUGCGUUGGAGGAAGAGUAGCUGCCCUAUUUCUAUCACUGCGUGGGGUGAGAGCACCGGGGUUGGAAGGCGACUGCGUUGAUGUGGCUGCAGCUGGGGGCAGCGUCGCCAAGAGCCUAUCGCAGCGAUGGUUGCGACGGUGCG
rnacentral:lncRNA from 1 species